rnacentral:rRNA from 1 species
UACGUAGGGGGCAAGCGUUGUCCGGAUUUACUGGGCGUAAAGAGCGUGUAGGCGGCCAAGCAGGUCCGUUGUGAAAACUGGAGGCUUAACCUCCAGACGUCGACGGAAACCGCGUGGCUAGAGUCCGGAAGAGGAGAGCGGAAUUCCUGGUGUAGCGGUGAAAUGCGCAGAUAUCAGGAGGAACACCGGUGGCGAAGGCGGCUCUCUGGACCACAACUGACGCUGAGGCGCGAAAGCUAGGGGAGCAAACAGG